rnacentral:rRNA from 1 species
GUGACUUAACACAUGCAAGUCCGAACGGAAACUGGCCUGCAUGCUUGCAUGACGGAGUAACUCGACGUAGGCGAACGGGUGAGUAACACGUGGGUGAUCUUGCCUUGCACAUUCGGGAUAAGCUUGGGAAACUGGGUCUAGUACCGGAUAGGACAGCUGUUUAGUGUCAGUUGUGGAAAGUUUUCUCGGUGCAAGAUGAGCUCGCGGCCUAUCAGCUUGUUGGUGGGGUAAUGGCCUACCAAGGCGUCGACGGGUAGCCGGCCUGAGAGGGUGUACGGACACAUUGGGACUGAGAUGCGGCCCAGGACUCCUACGGGAGGCAGACAGUGGGGAAUAUUGCACAAUGGGCCGGAAGCCUGAUGCAGCGACGCCGCGAUGGGGGAUGAAGGCCUAUCGGAGUAGUAACAACUCCAUUACGACACGGGACGAAGCGUACAGUGACGGUACCUGUAUAAAGCAAGCACGGCUAACCUACGUGACCAGCACGGCCAGCGGUAAUAACGUCACGGUGCGAGCGUCGACCGG